UUCCGGUUGAUCCUGCCGGACCCUACUGCUAUCGGGGUGGGACUAAGACAUGCGAGUCGAGCGUCUCCAGCUAUGGUGAGACGCGGCAGACGGCUCAGUAACACGUGGCUAACCUACCCUCAGGACAGGGACAAACCCGGGAAACUGGGGCUAAUACCCGAUAGGCGAGGGCGCCUGGAAUGGUUCUUCACCCAAAGGGCUUUGGAAGCAUGCUUUUCAAAGUCGCCUGGGGAUGGGGCCGCGUCCGAUCAGGUUGUUGGUGAGGUAACGGCUCACCAAGCCUAUAACCGGUACGGGCCGUGAGAGCGGUAGCCCGGAGAUGGGCACUGAGACAAGGGCCCAGGCCCUACGGGGCGCAGCAGUCGCGAAAACUCCGCAAUGCACGAAAGUGUGACGGGGCUACCCCGAGUGCCGUCCGCUGAGGAUGGCUUUUCCUCGGUGUAACUAGCCGGGGGAAUAAGGAGAGGGCAAGACUGGUGUCAGCCGCCGCGGUAAUACCAGCUCUCCGAGUGGUAGGGAUGAUUAUUGGGCCUAAAGCGUCCGUAGCCGGCUUAGCAAGUCUCCUGUUAAAUUCAGCGACCUAAUCGUUGAGCCGCGGGAGAUACUACUAGGCUAGGAGGCGGGAGAGGCCGACGGUACUUCCGGGGUAGGGGUGAAAUCCUAUAAUCCCGGGCGGACCACCAGUGGCGAAGGCUGUCGGCUAGAACGCGCUCGACGGUGAGGGACGAAAGCUGGGGGAGCGAACCGGAUUAGAUACCCGGGUAGUCCCAGCCGUAAACGAUGCGGGCUAGGUGUUGGGGUGGCUACGUGCUGCUUCAGUGCUGCAGGGAAGCCAUUAAGGUCCGCUCGCCUGGGGAGUACGGGCCGCAAGGCUGAAACUUAAAGGAAUUGGCCGGGGGAGCAUCACAGGCGUGAAGCUUGGCGGUUCAAUGAUCAACGCCGG
rnacentral:rRNA from 1 species